rnacentral:lncRNA from 1 species
GGAGCCUGGGGAGAAAGAAUUCUUUCUAGUCAUCUGCCUUGAAAGCAGUAAUCUUUGAUCAAGAAACACAACUAGCCAUAGGCUACCCGGCAGAAAGAAAGCCUUGGGAAUUAUUACUCACUCUCCUGCCUUCCUCCAUCAUCUGCCAGAGCUCCCAACGAAGUGCAAAGUUGGACUCCGUUCAGUCCCACAGAGACCAAACCCAACUGCAAGCCAGAAAGCAUGGGAAUGGGGAUGAAUCCAGUGGAUGUGUGUUGACAGGGGAAGGACUACUCUGAAAAAGAAGGAAAAGGCCCCAGACAAAGGCUGGGGUUUUGCCCUCCCUUGGCUUCCUGUUCUGGCUUCUUCAGAGCCCACGUCAGGCCCAGAAGAGCUCAGCAGGAGGCACACGCAGGGCGCCUGUUUCUGA